rnacentral:rRNA from 1 species
AGCGAACGCUGGCGGCAGGCCUAACACAUGCAAGUCGAACGAACCUUUCGGGGUCAGUGGCGGACGGGUGAGUAACACGUGGGAACGUGCCUUUAGGUUCGGAAUAACUCAGGGAAACUUGUGCUAAUACCGAAUGUGCCCUUCGGGGGAAAGAUUUAUCGCCUUUAGAGCGGCCCGCGUCUGAUUAGCUAGUUGGUUGAGGUAAUGGCUCACCAAGGCGACGAUCAGUAGCUGGUCUGAGAGGAUGAUCAGCCACAUUGGGACUGAGACACGGCCCAAACGCCUACGGGAGGCAGCAGUAGGGAAUCUUGCGCAAUGAGCGAAAGCCAGACGCAGCCAUGCCGCGUGAAUGAUGAAGGUCUUAGGAUUGUAAAAUUCUUUCACCGGGGACGAUAAUGACGGUACCCGGAGAAGAAGCCCCGGCUAACUUCGUG